rnacentral:rRNA from 1 species
CAGGUCUUGACAUCCCUUGCUAAUCCUAGAAAUAGGACGUUCCCUUCGGGGACAAGGUGACAGGUGGUGCAUGGUUGUCGUCGGCUCGUGUCGUGAGAUGUUGGGUUAAGUCCCGCAACGAGCGCAACCCUUGAUCUUAGUUGCCAGCAUUCAGUUGGGCACUCUAAGGUGACUGCCGGUGACAAACCGGAGGAAGGUGGGGAUGACGUCAAAUCAUCAUGCCCCUUAUGACCUGGGCUACACACGUGCUACAAUGGACAGAACAAAGGGCAGCGAAACCGCGAGGUUAAGCCAAUCCCACAAAUCUGUUCUCAGUUCGGAUCGCAGUCUGCAACUCGACUGCGUGAAGCUGGAAUCGCUAGUAAUCGCGGAUCAGCAUGCCGCGGUGAAUACGUUCCC